rnacentral:misc_RNA from 1 species
GAACCACCAAUUCCAACAGAGAGAAUUUGCGUAAAUCGGCCUCCAGAAGGAGUCUUAACCUUACCACUGACGACAUCAUUUGCAAACUCACACACAGCUUCAAGAGUAUUCUCAAUCUGCAACCUGAGAAAUGAGUUGGGAGCAAGAUGAGGACUUCUCAACCAAUAGUGACCCACCAUUCUACCCUCAUCAGGGUUUGCAAUAGCCCCCUUCUCCAAAUCCACCAUAUCCUUAAACGCCUUCUGCAAACGAGGCUCCAUUUCCUCAAGAAACCCAUCACUGAAUCCAACCCGACUGAUAUCCAAAUACAAACCCAACUCCUUGUGCUGAUAAAGCCACUCAACAUAUCUCUUCCAUAGAGCAUUCGGGUUUUUCUCCAACCCAACAUUCUCCUUCUUCAACUUAUGUACCACGUCAUUGUUUCCGGCCGACAAGCUCGCUGAAACCUCACGCGCCACCGCGUGAACAUGGAAUCUUGAUUUAUUGGGCAAAUAAAUUGAACCCAAUUGGGAAGAAGUGAUUUUGUGAAUGGAUUUCACUUCAGAUUUGAAAGAUGAAGAAGGUGAAUAGAUGCUAGAUAGAGAAGAAGAAGCCAUUAAUUCCACACACCCAAUUAAAAAAAGAGCUGUAAAAGCAAAUUAAGAAGCGAUAUAAACAAGGAGAAAGAGAGAUCAAGAAGCCAUAGUUGAAAAAAACAAAGUCCCUUUUGGUUUAUUUGGCUUUUGGAAGGUAAAGGG